rnacentral:rRNA from 1 species
AGGGUUUGAUCAUGGCUCAGGAUGAACGCUGGCGGCGUGCUUAACACAUGCAAGUCGAACGAGGGCGGCAGAAGGAAGUUUUCGGAUGGAAUUUUGCCGGCCGAGUGGCGGACGGGUGAGUAACGCGUGGGAAACCUGCCUUACACAGGGGGAUAACCGUUAGAAAUGACAGCUAAUACCGCAUAAGCCUACGAUGCCGCAUGGGAUUGUAGGAAAAGGAGAAAUCCGGUGUAAGAUGGUCCCGCGUCUGAUUAGCCAGUUGGUGAGGUAACGGCUCACCAAAGCGACGAUCAGUAGCCGACCUGAGAGGGUGACCGGCCACAUUGGGACUGAGACACGGCCCAA